CGGCCUGCCCCGCGGCAAGAUGGCGGUCUGAAGGCAGUGGGCAGCGGCAGAAACUGAAGACUCAGGGGCCCCAGGGAUUGGAAGAAAUCACAGUACCUGCUUGGAAAGAAGAAGAGGUAGCGACUUGCCCCAGCUCAACCCCAGGGCGGCUCCGGAGUUGGGCUGCUCACAGACCAAGCUGUCUGUUUGUAUGGAGUGCCUGGAGGGCGUCUGCCACGAGUCUGUUGCUAACCGUGCUAACCAGGAGAGCUGGCUGGUUGGGGAGAAGACACUAACCCUGUGA
rnacentral:lncRNA from 1 species